CACAAUAGCACAAAUCAGGCCUCUGGAGCAUACAUCUUCCGUCCUAAUGGCAAGUUUCCAAUAAAACCUGCAGGACAUAAAGCUUUUAGAGUUAUAAAGGGUCCACUAUUG